AUGGCGCCGGCGGCCGGUCGCGGCCGAGGACGAGGACGGGCCCGGGGACGCGGCCGCGGCCGUGGGCGCGGACGAGCGGCCAAGACCCCGCCGCCUCCCGCCGCAGAACCCGCGCCGGAGGAGGCUCCCGACGCCGCCGAGCAGGAGCAGGAGCAGGAGCAGGAGCAGGAUCAGGAGCACGAACAGGAGCAGGAGCAGCUCACCCACAACACCCAAGAUGCCGCCGCCUCUGCCUCUGCCUCUGCCUCUGCUUUUGCGGGGCGGGAGACGAUUGAGAUCUCUGACUCGACAGAGGCAUCCCCUCAACACUGCGCCUCCUCGCCAGACAUAUAUAGCUCAACCACAGUCCACCAGCACAUCAAGGAGGAGGAGCCAACCUCAAUCACAGUCGAUGAGCCGAGUGAGGCCGACGUGCCGUCUCCUACCAAUGAUGAUGAGCAGCAGCAGAAAAUGGAGGUGGAGGCUGGAGAGCCUCAUGAUAUGUUGUUGUCCGUAGAGCAAGAAGAAGCGCAAGGAAAUAAUAACCAGGAGGAUGCAGGGCCCGAUGCGAACAAGCAAGCGGUACAGAGCAAAGAAGCAGAGGUGAUAGAGCAGGAGGGUGGAAAAGCCGAUGACGAUGAUGUAGCGGUAAAGACUGCUGCAACUCAUGAUGCACAAAAUAAGCAAGACAGCCAACCUAACCCACUCCACCAGGGACAAAUGCUUGCUGCAACUCAUGAUGAUAAUUCAGAAAAUAAGCACCCACUCCACCAACAACAGAUGGAUGCUCAGCAGGAAGAGGAGGAGGAGGAGGAUCCUCAAGAGGUCAUCUUCGACGACUCUGUCUCCGUGGGUGAAGGGCAGGCCGCAUCUGAGAUCAAGCAAGGAGACGACCUUGCUAAGGCCACGGAGGACGACGACGACGGGCAGGCUGCAGCUGAGAGCAAACAGGAAGAGCACCGUGCUAGGGCGUCGGAGGAGCACGGCCAGGCUGCAGGUGAGGUCAAACAGCAAGAGGACGAGCGCAAGGUUAUGUCAGACAUGGCCAAGAACAGGCAGCGCAAAAAGGAGCUAGAGAUCUUUGUGGGAGGGCUGGACCGUGAAGCCGUCGAGGAGGAUAUUAGGAAGGUGUUUGCGCACGUCGGUCAUGUUGUGGAGGUCCGUCUCCACAAGGAUCUCUCCACCAACAAGAACAAGGGCUUUGCGUUCGUCAGGUUUGCAAACAAACACCAGGUGGCUCGCGCGCUUGCUGAGGUGAAGAAUCCUAUGAUACAUGGCAAACGUUGUGCCAUUGCCGCUAGCGAGGACAACGACACACUCUUCUUGGGCAAUAUUUGCAAUACAUGGACAAAGGAAGCUAUUAAGAAGAGGCUGCUUGACUAUGGAGUUGAAGGAGUUCAAAGCUUAACUCUUGUUCCUGAUACUCAAAACGAAGGCCAGAGCCGUGGUUUUGCAUUUCUCGAGUUUUCUUGCCACGCGGAUGCGAUGCUUGCAUUCAAGAGGCUGCAGCAACCAGAUGCUCUGUUUGGUCAUCCUGAGAGAACUGCAAAAGUUGCUUUUGCAGAGCCAAUAAAAGAAGCAGAUGCAGAAGUUAUGGCUCAGGUCAAAUCAGUUUUUAUUGAUGGACUUCCACCAUACUGGGAUGAAGAGCGUGUUAAAAACCGAUUCAAAGCUUAUGGUUUGAUAGAACGAGUUGUGCUUGCUCGCAAUAUGUCUAGUGCUAAAAGAAACGAUUUUGGAUUUGUCAACUUCUCAACCCAUGAGGAGGCUCUUGCUUGUAUUGAAGCCACCAACAACACCGAGCUGGGUGAUGUUGGAAAAGCAAAGCUAAAAGUAAGGGUUAGACUUUCAAACCCUCUACCUAAAAGUCAGGCUGUGAAAGGUGAAAUGAGUGGCGGGUUUCGAAUUGGACAUCCUGGAUCUGGUUUUAACAGGCCUGGUAGAGGUUUUAAUAGGGGAAGAGCUGCCCCUCGCCGGGAAGGUUUCCAUGGUGAUAGGGGUUUCAAUAAUCACACUCCUGUUCGUGGUGGGAGAUUUAAUUCUGCAUACAGUAACAACAGUUUUGAAGCUUCGCCCUCUGAUUUCCGAGCCAGGCAGGCUCCUCCUGCCUUUCGAGGGGGUUCCUCAGGAAGGCAGCAUGAUUUGUUUGAUAGAGGACAGGGGAGAGGAUAUCAUCAUCCACCUAGAGGGCCAACAUUUGAGCCCGAGGGUGAUUUUGGUAGACCCUUUGGUGAAAACCCAUAUCUCUAUGAAGAUGUUCGGCAUGGUGCUAAGAGGCCAUAUUCUCACAUGGAACCCGGUCCUCCUGGAUACUUUGAGCAUGGUGGUCCUCCUCGUGUGCGCCCUCGCUUUGACCAUUACGAGCAGCCACCAUUUCCUGGAGGGAACCGUUUUGGUCAUUAUGACCAGCCACCAUUUCCUGGAGGUGACCGCCACAGAGACUCUUUUGGGACGAGGGGUGGUUAUUCACGUGAUCAUCACUAUGGCCCUGCUCCUGGUCAUGCCCAUGCCCAUGCCCCUCCCCCUGCCCCAGCUCAAUAUGGUAGGGGUGCAUUCCAACCACACCAUAGAGGCGGGCAUUCUGGAGGCGGUUAUUACCACCACUAG
rnacentral:rRNA from 1 species